AGAUUGAACGCUGGCGGAAUGCUUUACACAUGCAAGUCGAACGGCAGCACGGGGGCAACCCUGGUGGCGAGUGGCGAACGGGUGAGUAACACAUCGGAACGUGCCCAGUCGUGGGGGAUAACUACGCGAAAGCGUAGCUAAUACCGCAUACGAACUCUGGUUGAAAGCGGGGGAUCGCAAGACCUCGCGCGAUUGGAGCGGCCGAUGGCAGAUUAGGUAGUUGGUGGGGUAAAGGCUCACCAAGCCGACGAUCUGUAGCUGGUCUGAGAGGACGACCAGCCACACUGGGACUGAGACACGGCCCAGACUCCUACGGGAGGCAGCAGUGGGGAAUUUUGGACAAUGGACGCAAGUCUGAUCCAGCCAUUCCGCGUGCAGGAUGAAGGCCCUCGGUUGUAAACUGCUUUUUGUCUAGGAAGAAACGCACUGGGCUAAGUACCCCGGUGUAAUGACGGUACCUGAAGAAUAAGACACCGCUAACGUACGUGCCAGCAGCCGUA
rnacentral:rRNA from 1 species